UACAGAGGGGGCAAGCGUUGUUCGGAAUUACUGGGCGUAAAGCGUCCGCAGGUGGCAGUUCAAGUCUGCUGUCAAAGACCGGGGCUUAACUUCGGAAAGGCAGUGGAAACUGAACAGCUAGAGUAUGGUAGGGGCAGAGGGAAUUCCUGGUGUAGCGGUGAAAUGCGUAGAGAUCAGGAAGAACAUCGGUGGCGAAGGCGCUCUGCUGGACCAUAACUGACACUCAGGGACGAAAGCUAGGGGAGCGAAUGGG
rnacentral:rRNA from 1 species